rnacentral:rRNA from 1 species
AUUGAACGCUGGCGGAAUGCUUUACACAUGCAAGUCGAACGGCAGCACGGGAGCUUGCUCCUGGUGGCGAGUGGCGAACGGGUGAGUAACAUAUCGGAACGUACCCAGUCGUGGGGGAUAACUAUCCGAAAGGGUAGCUAAUACCGCAUACGUCCUGAGGGAGAAAGCGGGGGAUCGCAAGACCUCGCGCGAUUGGAGCGGCCGAUAUCGGAUUAGCUAGUUGGUGGGGUAAAGGCUCACCAAGGCGACGAUCCGUAGCGGGUCUGAGAGGACGACCCGCCACACUGGAACUGAGACACGGUCCAGACUCCUACGGGAGGCAGCAGUGGGGAAUUUUGGACAAUGGGGGCAACCCUGAUCCAGCCAUUCCGCGUGAGUGAAGAAGGCCUUCGGGUUGUAAAGCUCUUUCAGCAGGAACGAAACGGUCGGCUUUAAUAAAAUCGGCUAAUGACGGUACCUGCAGAAGAAGCACCGGCUAACUACGUG